ensembl:snoRNA SNORA74 Small nucleolar RNA SNORA74
CCCAGUUGUAUACAACUACCUAGGUUGCAUUUUACCUAGGCAAGUGUUACGCUGCUGGGAGAAAAGCAGCUAAUAGCUGAUGGGCAUCCUGGGUCUGCUUAUUGCCAAAUUCGCGUUAACUAUGCCAGUAUGCCAGCAUGGUUGCCUAUUAA